UACAGAGGUCUCGAGCGUUAGGCGGAAUCACUGGGCUUAAAGCGUGUGUAGGCGGAUCGUUAAGUGCCUUGUGAAAUCCCACGGCUCAACCGUGGAACUGCUUGGCAUACUGGCGGUCUUGAGCAACCUAGGGGCGAGCGGAACAAAUGGUGGAGCGGGUGAAAUGCGUAGAUAUCAUUUGGAACGCCAAUGGUGAAAACAGCUCGCUGGGGGUUUGCUGACGCUGAGACACGAAAGCCAGGGGAGCAAACGGG
rnacentral:rRNA from 1 species